ACAUCAACACAAGAACAUAAAGCACAAACCCAGAACCAAACAAAAAAAACACAAACUCAAAUUUAAACAUUAACACAUGAUCACAAACACAAAGAACACAAUAACAUACAUAAAUCUCCCAGCCAACCCAUAGCAAAUAAACCAAAUACUCCAAUAGAACCCAAAUCUAAAAACUCCAAAAAACUCAAUAGAAAACCCACCACCUUAUCGAUUGAACCCAGAUCUAAAGCCACCACGAAAGUAGCUUCUCAAUCUCUCUACCUGUCAUCACACUCUGAAACUGUGACCAAAGCCUAGCUCUCUUCUAAACUCGAGCCAUGUCUCACCGAGUCUCUCUACUCUCAAACCACAAAAACCACUCUCCGAUCAACAAGCUAAAAGUGCCUUGAACAGCGCGUGAACCACAAAAGGUGGAUGUAAAGGUGAAAGGUCUCACAGAUCUGCCAAGAACCGAGACAAUGGUGGCACGUGGACCUACACACGGUGACGCGUGAACAAGUGUGUGCAUAACUGAGGUUCCUUAACUCCCUUGUCUGAAGAAGAAAUAUCACGAUCGUGUUGAGAAGGUCAGAGAAUAUCUCGGGACUGUUAGAGAUUUCGACGACCUUAUCUCUCCUUAAUUGUUGUUCCUCCAUUUUUUGGGCCCAGAGCCCUUAAGCAAGGUUCAGAAGAAUUUAGAGGUUGUGAAAAAAAAAUGACAACCAGGUUUAGCAGACAAAAACUGGUCGAGGCCUAAGAGAAGAAGGCCAAGAGUGGCAUUGUUGGUGGCCUUCUGUCUAGGAAGCGUUAGAAAGUGGGCAACACUCCCUUUGAAGUGCCCAUGGUGAUUCCUUCUUCUGCUCACUCUCCUUCCAAGCAUCCUCCCUCUCCCACAUCGUUUCUGGAGGUGAUGGUCUCUUCAGAGGAGGGUGCCAGAGGAAAAUCCGUUUGCAAGCCUUUUCCCCCAACCUUUUGGGAUGAUGCUGACGUCGCUGUGUUGAAGGCACAUGAGGCGCUUUCAGUGGACGACCUAAAUCCUCUAAUGUCGAAAUUGUCUGGUGAUGUGAUG